GAUGAACGCUGGCGGCGUGCCUAAUACAUGCAAGUCGAGCGAACUGAUGUGGAUCUUUUUCCUCUUUCGAUAGCGUCGGACGAGUUAGAAACACGUGGCUAACCUGUCUGUAAGACUGGGAUAACCUGGGGAAACGACAGCUAAUACACGUUAAUACAUAUAAUCGUACGGUCCAACAGUGCAAGACGGUUUUGUCGACUUUAAUAGAUGGUUCUGCUCUGCAUUAGCUAGUUGGUAAGGUAACGGCUUAUCAAGGCAACGAUGCAUAGCCGACCUGAGAGACUGAUCGGCCACACUGGAACUGAGACACGGUCCAGACUCCUACGGGAGGCAGCAGUAGGGAAUCUUCCGCAAUGGGCGAAAGCCUGACGGAGCAACGCCGCGUGAGUGAAGAAGGUCUUCGGAUCGUAAAGCUCUGUUAGUAGGGAAGAACGAAUGUGUAAGUAACUAUGCACGUCUUGACGGUACCUAAUCAGAAAGCCACGGCUAACUACGUG
rnacentral:rRNA from 1 species